rnacentral:rRNA from 1 species
AACGCGAAGAACCUUACGUACUCUUGACAUCCAGAGAACUUUCCAGAGAUGGAUUGGUGCCUUCGGGAACUCUGAGACAGGUGCUGCAUGGCUGUCGUCAGCUCGUGUUGUGAAAUGUUGGGUUAAGUCCCGCAACGAGCGCAACCCUUAUCCUUGUUUGCCAGCGAGUAAUGUCGGGAACUCCAGGGAGACUGCCGGUGAUAAACCGGAGGAAGGUGGGGACGACGUCAAGUCAUCAUGGCCCUUACGAGUAGGGCUACACACGUGCUACAAUGGCGCAUACAGAGGGCGGCCAACUUGCGAAAGUGAGCGAAUCCCAAAAAGUGCGUCGUAGUCCGGAUUGGAGUGUGCAACUUGACUCCAUGAAGUCGGAAUCGGUAGUAAUCGCGGAUCAGAAUGCCACGGUGAAUACGUUCCCGGGCCUUGUACACCCCGCCCGUCACACCAUGGGAGUGGGCUGCAAAAGAAGUAGGUAGUUUAACCUUCGGGGGGACGCUUACCACUUUGUGGUUCAUGACUGGGGUGAAGUCGUAACAAGGUA